rfam:Synechococcus sp. WH 5701 scf_1099465003794 genomic scaffold, whole genome shotgun sequence.
CAACGUUCACUUUGCUGAUACGCAAAGCGCAUCACACCUCAGGCCAUGGAACGGGGACCUGGG